UACAUUUUAGUGUAUGGUGCACGAAAAUUUUUGAUAUUUUAAGGGACAGUUUAAUUCUGUUAAAUGUAU
rnacentral:tRNA from 1 species